GAAGGGACUGAAGUAUCUGAUUUGACUCAUAUUUAAAUUAGAAUGGCGACAACUGAAGAAGAAAAGUCCUAUUACGUAGCAGUUUAUAGCAAUAUUCCAAAGUUAACAAAGUGCUUAGAAACAAUUGUACCAGAUAUACUAUUUCAGGAAGUUUCUCCUGGUUCUGGAGAAAAUAUGGCCAUCUUCCUGUCCAACCAGCCACUGAAAUAUUGCUAGACAUAGACAAGAGAUACCAAGGUACCCUGUAAGAAGUUUUAUAUCUUCUCAUAUACCAACAUUUUUAACAGCUUAAUGAAGAAAAAGCAGACUGAAGUCAACUUUCAGUGUCUUUAAGUUAACAUGAGUUAAAACAGCUGACUGAAAUGAUGAUCCAUUUAUAUCUCUGCUGAUUGUUAUCAUUCAGUCUGAUUCUGUGUCAUAAGAUGGCCACACACAGCUAGUCUCCAAUUCAACUCGAAGAAGACAGAAAAUUUCAGUUUUAAUAGAAUUUAUUAUACAAUAUGCAACAUUUUAUGAGAUGCAUAUCAUAAUAGACAGAAAAUAUGAACCAGUUUUCUAAAGAGAAGGCAAACUCUGCUGAUUUCCCUGAUGAUGGAGGCAGCAAUGGUCAUACUGCUCUUUGACAUAAGGUCAAUAACUACAAAAAAUGUAACAGGAGUGAUAUUUCUGUCUUCUGCUCUGGUCUGCAUGGCAACAUGAUAACAGCAAACUAUCACUGGGUGGUUCCAGAUUAUUAUUGUCACAGGAAGAAGCAACAUGCAUCUUCUGACAACACGUGUUUACAUGAUCCGCCCAGGUGCAUGGCUGAACCUGAAAUGGCUGAUGUCACAACAAAGCACAACUUGCGAUGCAGCUGGCUGCCACUCAUUCUUUUAACACACAUUAUGGCAAAUACAUUUGGAAACAUCUACUUGUUUCAUUUUGUAGCCAGCCAGUAAAUAUAACUUCAUAUUUUUGCUUUGUGCUGUUUAAGUUAAACAGUGUUCAGUCCUAAUUAUGGCAAUGAAACAAAAGUGCUCAAACUUCAGUAUGAAGCUUGCAGUAAUAUGUCCACGUGAAGUUGGGUUAUUCCAAUCAUAGAGCAUAGAACCAGUCUGUAAUGUAGCAUAUAUAUGUUCAUAAGCUAUGUGCAGCAAAUUAUGGGUAAACUGUGGGCUGGACUUAUAGGCAUGCAGUAGAUGGGGCAUGGGACUUCCUGUUUGAACAGAAGUGAUCCUAAUAUGUGGUCAGUUGUAAAUAUGAGAAUCUAACUAUUUGAUUCAGAUAAUGCUCAAGAAGCUGAGAAUGUUGAAUUAUUCUUAAUUAUUUUCAUACCUUCAUAACCACUUGAACAAUGAAUAAAUACUAAUCUAAGUGCA